AUAUCUUAUCGGUAGUCGUGUCUCGGUACGUUGUUGUGCGUACGUCGUUGAUAACGUAUCGUUUCCACGGUGCUGAUACGCAUUUCGUAUUCACGUCGUUUCACAAAGAGAUCCCGUUUCCCCCGUUGGUCAUCGGGGGAAGGGAAAAGCUUGGUUUUUUUCGCACCUGCGUUUCUUUGUCUGCGAUCCGAGACACAAUGGAGAAAAAUGGGGCAUUAAGCAUCAAGAUAAACAUCAAAAGAUAAAUCUGUAAAAUGCACGAAGAAUCUAUGCAACAAAAAAAAAAAGAAAGUCAAAAAAGAAAUCAUCAAGAGGUAUCAAGAAUAUUUGAUUAUUAUUACCAGUUAAGAAAAAGAAAUCGAGAGGAAAAAACGGCGAGGCACAACAGGAAAGGAGAAAGAAUCGAGAUCGUGGAAUAUUUCGGCGGAAGGCGACGAGAGAUCGGUCGCUUUUUCUUUGCGGCCGGUUGUGGGCCGAUCUGGUGCGCCACGUCAGUCGUUGGAAUUAAUUUUGAUAUAAAUACCCCGUUACAUCAUGAGCUUACUCCAAUUAUGGGAAAGUAGAAUUUUUCUUUUUUUUAAAAAUCUUUUUUCCACGCGCGAAAGUCGUGGACCGAUUCGGGUGACAUAUCAAUCGUUGCAAUUAAUUUUGCAAUAGGUACAUGUGUUAACGACGUUAUAACCCGAACGAUGUUGAAGUGACAGUGCCUCUUAUUCACCACAUGCUGUACAGAAGGAUAUGUCCCAGUUUUGAAUGAAGUUUGUCCAUAUAUACCAGGUGAGCAAAAGACAUGGAACAUAAAGUUUAGUUUCAAACGAGAUAUAUAUUUCUCCAUAGAAACUUUUAUAACACGAGUAUUUAAUAUUUAAGUUGAAUACCGUGUUUAGGAAUGCGAAGUGUCGUUCAAUGGAGGAUAAAAUUAAAUAUUAAGAUUGCAAUUUUUAAAUAUCUAUCAAUCUUUUCCAAUAAUCUGUCUUAAUCGUGCGAAUAUAUUCCAGAAUAAAAGAAAAUAUUUUUUAAAACACAGCUCCAAUUUUCACUGAUUCUUUCACGAAGUCUAUAUACAUUUAUAUGUAAAAAGAAAAAAAAAUCGAAUACCAAUAAAAAUAUUAAUAUUAUCCUGAGUAACUACGAUAAAACAGCAAGUGGACAACGUUCGUCGGAAUUGCGGCCAGUUUUCCAGUUACAGAACUGGUCCAAACCCCUUCUCCCUCGUACGACGACAAUUACCGGAAGAGUUUAUCGCGGGGAACGGCGAACGAAAGCAAGAUUCUCCCCCUCGGGCGCGGCUGCUCUUCAAAGGGACACAGGGAGAGGAGGGGGAGAGGGUUGGGAAAAAAAACGAGGGAUAAGAAACAGACGUUUCCUUUGUUUACCAAGGAACGCUUUGUUCGUGGCCCCGGGCUGGGAGGCGAAGGGGGAUGGGAGGAGGGUAUGUUUAAUUUUUCGCACGCAAACCCGGGUUGUGACGCGAGACGCCACUCGUGCCAUGCUUGAAAUUCCCGUCACAAUGGUGUUUGCUCCAGGUUGCUUCGCGGUCGAACAUUCGCGUCGUUCCUGCACUGCAUUUACCCGAUGUCAGAAAGCAUGCAAGGGUUAAUUAGCAUGGUAGAGCAAUUGCAUUUCGUACCGAACAAGGGUGAGAGGAUUUGUUUGAACUUUUGAUUUCGUUCAAGGCCCCUUCAACCCGUGCUCUCGCGAAUGGAAAAGAAUUUUUCUCCUUCUAGAGUGGCAGAAUUUGAUCAAACGAGUUUUACUCGAGAGAAAUAAUAACGAUUAGAGAAUUAUUGACCGGAGAAGAGGAGGAAAAAUUAAAAACUAUCAACCCCCUUCUCUCACCCCCCAAAAACAUUAACAUAUUAUUUCGCUUCGAGAGGAAGCCCAAGUCAGGAAGGGAAAUCACUAUCGUGGGUCCAAUUGCUUUCGAUCUCGCGACGAAUCGAAGGGUGGAACAUCGUCCAGGCAUUUCGGGAAUUUUGCCAAUUAAAAUCGACGGACGGGAGGGAAAAAGGUCGGGUAUUGGCCGAUCGGCCCCGAGGCCCUCUCCAUGUAAACGGUACUCAUAGGAAUGUCCUUGGGCGCGACAGUUUCGCUAAUUGAAAUCGAUUACGGGGGGCCCGGGGGCAUCGUUUUUCCAUCGCUUUUCACCGCCCGCGCCCCCCAAGGAGGAGGAGGAGGAGGAGGAGGAGGGAGAGUGCACAAUUACCCGGGGCCACUCGCUUCGCUGCUUCCCGGAUAUUCCCAUUUUCCGCGGAGAGUGCUCCUCGCGCGAGUUUACGUCCGAUCCACGAAUCGACUCCUGUUUUCCUCCUUCCUUGGAGGCGAAGGGGGACAUCUGCCACGGCCACCUCUCGUCACCGCCUCCUCUCCCCUCGAUACGAUUCGCGUCGUUCGAUUAAGGAGAGGAGAGACGGGAAGAAUAUGUCUGGUGUGGUAAUGGUGAAGGAUGAAUAUUAUUAGUAGCGUGGUUAUUAGUAGUUGGGGAGAGAUCGUUGAUUUUUUGAAAAAGAAGAAGAGGAAGAAGAAGAAUUGGUGUUCGAGAUGAAUAUUAUUAGUUGAGAAAGUGGAGGAGAGAGAAGGGAACAGAUAAUUGAAAUUAUUUAAGUAGAGAUAUAAAUGAUGUUCGAAUUUCGACGACGCUUUUUGUUGAAAGAAAAUUGUCAAUUUGUUUUUAAAUCAUUCUUUUUCGUAAUAGAAAUAGAUAGAUGAUAAAUGAUGAAUGAAGAUGAUGAAUCAAGUUUUAAUAAAGAAAAGAAAAAAAGAAUGAUCGUAUACUCUUUAAGAGUUUUGUCAAAGUAUAUCAAUCUGGAACGAGUAAUAUCGAUCACAAUUACUCAUAGAGAACGAAGAUGAUUCGACCGAUAUAAUACACGAAGACCAUUUCGUGGCGAGUAGACCAUAGUCAUUCGAAAGGGUUAAUAAGUCUAAACUGUUCAUUAAAGGUUUCCUUUACGAGAAGUGGUUUCCUAAUUGGGUGGCGUUAGAACCAAGAUCAAUUAGAAACGGUCUUUAACGAGAAUUUAAGUGGCCAAUUCUCCCCUUUCGCCUUUCUACAAUAUUCAACGCCGUGCCGGCAAAUAGUGCAAUUUAGUUCGCCAAUCGUCACACUCCGUAAAAUAAUAAAAAUCCAAUCUUUCUCUCUCCUCCGAAAAAUACCACGGUUUAAAAACAUGCUUGCCUACGCACGAGAAUUUCCUUCUUCAGAAAUUUUUCAAAAUUCUCAGGCAGAGAGAAAGUACAUUUCGAUAUAUAUAUUCAAAAUUCAUAUCUAUCGUUAUCAUUAUUUUGAACGUGUUCGUAGUGUGAUCUCUCAAGUAUCGAUUCUUAUUGUUAGUGACAAAGAAUCACGGCACACACAAGCACAUACAAUUCUAUCUAAAAGAAUUGAAUGAUUACUUGAGCAUCGAAUUAAAAAUACCAAUGCUUCCAAUUCUAUCCUUCUUUCUCACAAUUUCUCUCAUGAUAAAUGUAUUAUCAUAACAUUACUAACGAUAUCAUUCACGAUAUAUAUCUUUCGAUAUACUCUCCAAGACGAGACAACGAUACCCUUAUCUCAAGAUUGUCCAAAUUUUACAAUAAAAAAAUACCCCUUCCUUAAUGAAAGAUCAAUCGAACUUUCUCUAUGAAAAGAGAAAAAAAGAAGCUCUUUCCAAAUAAAUAGAUUGACCAUCGAAUCACCAUCGAAAAUAAUGAGAAAAUGUCACCGUUAAUGGAAGCGGAAGUAGAGAGGGAACGUUGCAAAUAUCGAGGAGGAGGGGGAGGGGUUAACCGAGGCAAUUACGCGGAACAGCGCUUUAUCCCGCUAACCUUAUCCAGGACGCGGGUGCUUUUCGAGCCGUGGUUGACUCGACGGAGCAACUGGUGUCCAAUGACGGGGCGCAAAGGCGAGGACCUCUUGAAUGUACUUACAUUUUGAACCUUACAUAUGCUCACCUUCUCGAGCGACCCAUCGUCGCGGUAAGCUCUCUCCGCUUCCUGUACACCGAUAGCUCGUGUGCCUGACAAAUAGACGCUGGCCCGCCGAUGUGUGUGGGUGUCCUCCUCCGCUCGGCUAUGUACGCGUUCACACACCGAUGGGACCGAGAGAUGGAAGAGAGAAAAAGAGAGAGAGAGGGAGAGAGGGAGAGAGAGAGAGGGAAGGUUGGUUAAUCCGCACAUGUGUGAUGACAAUCGUGAACCACCUGUUGAACGGCACCGAUACCCAAGGCUCUCUACCUGGCUACAAAAGGAAGCCCCGAAUUUCGAUCGGACACGAUCAAGUACUUCACUUUGUCCGACCACCCCCCGAUAACUCGCCCCGCUAUCAAUUAAUCCCUUGUUUGCCCUGUUUCGAACUUGAGCUUCGUUUCCCUUCGAUCGAUGAAAUUUCUUUUCCUACUUUUCCCUCGUUCCGCUUGUUGAACGAUUUAUAUUUGUUUUGAUUGAUUCUCUUUGAAAAGAGAAUUGUUUCUUUUUGAGAAAAUUUUUGCAAUAGUUUUAAAAGUCAUUAUAUUUAUGCAAGUAGAAUCGAGUUGAUGAUGGUUUAAAAAUUGUUUCAAAUUGUUUUUCCAAGAAAUAUAUCGAUUGUUGUAUAAAAUUGUUAUACAUCAAAGUUUUUAUUAUUAUAAAUUCUUCGUGACACGAAUAAGUAUAGUAAUCGAGUUGUAAAUGUAGUUAAGUAAAUUUAACGAUAAUUCUGGAAAAAAAAAAAAAUAUCAAGAAAUUCAACAUCAAUGUUUUAAAAUUGCCUGUAUUAUUAAACGAAUCGCAAACAUUCAUUACAAAACACUUAUGAAAAUUGACGUCAUUGUGAUAAUCGAUUCACGGUUGGAGAGAUUGUGGCAAUUUUGCAAGUGCGUCAAACGUGAAACCUUGGUCAAAUUUGCCGUCACGGCAUAUCAUAUCUUCUGACAUGUUGACAUAUCGAAGGUGAAAGAAAAACUUGUGAAUACGAGGAUCGAAUUAUAUAUAUAUAUAGAAAGCGAAAGCUUUUUCGUAUCGGGAAUAAAUGAGAAACGAUCCUUUUCCUCUCAACCCAACCCAUUCCAUUCUAUUUUCUAACGAAACUUUCCUUUCUUUUGAACAGAUCUAACAACAAGAUCCACGAUGGAUAAAGAUCGACGAGAUUUUCUUUCUUUUUUUUUUUUUUUUUUCAAUUUCGGCGACGCAUCCUCGACGCAUCAAGAGAUCGUGCGAUCCUCGACGAUAGAUGUAAAUCUAUCCAGGUAUCAUUCCUCGUCCACGACCGUUUGAAUCUCAUUAACACGGUGAAUGUGAAGGUUAUUAGCGAAGGUUUCCACCAAUCUCCGCCAAGUUGUGCGACAAUCGCGUUAUGUAAUCGACAGCUGGGUGAUUAAUGGGUGAAUUUGUUGUGUCGGAUCGAUUGCACGAUCGUCGAAUUAAAUGUCAAACCGAGCUCGGACAGAAGUGGUUGAUUUCUCUCCGAUCCUCGAUUUCGCAAUUGGCGCAUCGCGCUCAACUUUGCACAGAUUCGAUCUUGUUUGACGUGACAAUUGGAAAAUUUCCAUUCUUCUCCGUUGAUUAUUUGAGAUAAUAACGAAUAAUAACGAUUCUUCCUACGGGAAGGGAAGAGGAGGAAAGAAAAAAAAGAACGUCACGAGCAAUUUAAGAAUCUGUUCAACGUUAUACGUUGGAUGGAAAAUGCACGAGGAAUAUGGAAUAAUCUGUAUCAUUUCGCACGCGAGUGUUGGAAGAUAAAUAGAUGUAUCCGCGGUGAUUGUGCACACGUUCUUGAACCGCGAUUUCGUGGCUGUCGCGAUUAAAAUGCGCUGGAUUGGCCUGCGCAUGCAUAUACAUGAGACACAUAACAGGUCGGUUGAAUUACACGGAGAAUUGACGCACGUUCCCGGUUUAAAACAAACGGCAUGACAAUGGGCGAGAAACGCGAGGAACACGGGGAGAGGCUCGUGGAAAUUUUCGAGAGUGUUGCAUUUGAGCCAUAAUACGUAAUCGUACAACGUUUUGGAGGACGAUCGAAUUUUUCCCUAUCUAAAUUCGUUAAUUUAAUUUAAAAUGGAUCGAUUUUCGACGAUUUUCUAAAGAUGGAAGAUGCUAAUUUUUGAUAUUUGGUUAAUCGAGCGAUAAAUUUAAUAUUGAAGAUUGGCCGAGAAAGGGUUUCCAUUUCAUAUAUCUUGUAUAACGUUGCUUUGUUUCCAAGUGGCAUAUAGUAUUAAGUAAUCUCAGCAAUUUUCUUGCAACUCCUGCCUUUUAACAAUUUAGAAUUAUCGUCAAAAUUGGCAAUUUAAUAAAACAGAGAGAUUCUUUCCAUAUUUUUCUAUAUUUUUUUCCAUAUAGUGUCCAAUUCUCUUCUGAAAAAUCUACGUAACGGAGGAAUCAUACGAUUGCAAAAUUGCCUUUCACGCAUAUCGUAUUUCUCAUAUAUUUUCGAAACACGAAAGUCAUCAAAUAUAUAUAAAAAUACCGUCAUCGCGACUCGGUAAAUAUGAUACGAUUGAAAGAAGGAUGAUUGGAAAAAAAUAUUUUCUCGUGUACGAAUUUGGAUUGAAGAAUAACACGAAAAAUAUUGAGAAUCAUACCGAAUUAUUUCGAUCGCCCUAUUGUAAUAUUGGGCAGAGAUGAGAAGAAAUUAAUACGUCCAACCUCGACGCAUCAACGGCCGCGUAUCGCUGCGCAUAUGAGCUCGUACGUACGCACAGGUUGCAUCACGGAACACGUGGAACGUUGUUAUCAUCAUUUUCUCACGGCGCGUACGCGCUCGAUCCGUUAUCGAGCGUUGGCUGGCGCCUUUUAUGCGAGCCGAAGAGGAUGAAGCGACACAUUUUCGCGGCGAAACACGCGAAUACCGUUGCUCUGUUAUCGUUGGAUCGUGCCGAUGGCCAUGUCUUCGACCUUCCUCCGAUUGAUUACCUUUUUUUGUAUGGAAAUAUUAACCUCUCGAGGAAGCGAUUUAAUUUAAACAAGAAAUUUUCCAUGUGGAUUUAAUUUUCCUUUCUUCUUCUUCUUCUUCUUCUUCCUCCUCCUCUUUUUUUCUUUAUGUAGAAAUAGAGAACGGGAGAAAUAAAAAUUAGAAUUAGAAAUUAUUGGACGGGUUGUUAUCGAUAUACAUUACUUAAAUGCAAAUUGGCAACGGGUAUUUGCAUUGUAGUCGAGUAAUGUCUUGCUUCUAAUUUAAUGCAAAUACGGUAAACGCGACUCUUUGGCAUAUAUUAUUUCAAAUCAAUUAGUGAUACAAGUGAUUAAAUUUGCAAAUUCAGAGACUAAAGAUUAAAGGUUAUGCGAUACGAAUUCAGUAGCUCUAUUCGGGUUAUCUCAUCGUGCUCGAGGAUAAUGGGAAGGCCUCUAUCAACUUCGAGUUUAACGAGGAGGCUCUUAAACGUGGUUCUUCUUAUCGGCUCGACGAUGAAAAGGCUACGACAGAAAUUGGUCUGUUUCACAAUCGGUUGUACGACGUUUUAAACUACAAUUUUCACGUAUCUAUCGAGUAUUGUUCCUCGUAUCGAGUUUACAUAAUUUAGAAUCAAGAAAAACACUAGGAAUUAUGUUUGUUACAUUAUUGCUAAAUUACUGUUGAAGAAUUGAAGAAGGGGCAACGAGUGAACAAUGGAAAUAUGAAACUAAAUGAUUGACAAGCCCGUAAUGAGAAUUUAUUGCAAUCUACUUUCCAGUAAUCAUCAAGCUAUUAUUAAUCGUACGACUAUCGAUAGAUCAACUACUUAUGAUUAUUAAAAUUGAAAAAUAUGAGAAUUCAAUUUCUGAAGAAACAAAAACGAGGAUUGAUAUUUAACCGUUCAUUUUCUAAAAUAAUCCAACCCCUGCUAUGAAAAAAAUAUUCAUAUUCGAACAAGAAAAAUAAUUUUUCGUUGUUUUAACAGGAUUGCAAGGAUGAACAGAUUUCGUAUUUACGAUCUUGGCUAAUCUUAAGAAUCAUCGUUUUAUCGUAUCUCGUGAGUUUUCAAGGAAAUGGUCGAUUUCUUGGAUGGACAAGGACAACUCUGAGGGAUGGGAAAAUUCGCUGGGAUAAUCCUGGGCAGAGUGAGAAACGAGAGAAAAAAAAAAUACUGAGAAAAAAGAGAUUGUCGAAAGAAAGCAGACAGUUUCGAGAAAAAGAAGGCAGCCCUGUUUUCUAAUCUAUUGACACAAAGGAUCAACUAAUGGCGGAACCUUCCUAGAAAGGUCGAGCCAUUUGGAAAAUUUCGAGUUUUCCAGAAACAAAUCUACCUAGUCUUGCACAACGACAAGAAGUUGUAAAUUAACGACUGGGAAAGAAUAGUUUGUAACUUGGAACUUUUCUUGUUCAAAGAAAAUUCCUGCUCUUGACUCGAGGUUUCUCCCAUCGAUGAAGCCGUCCGGAUCCCCUUCGAUCCCUGCGCAACAUCUGCUCUGAUCAUGAACGCAUAAAGGCAAGAAACCGUGAGAAAGCACCGAAUCGAGGGGCAAUUAAGAGAUCGGCGAUCGAUCGAGGGAUCCACCGUUUCCCGGAAACCGCCGCAGGAAAACGGUUGUUGGGAAAGGAACCGUUCUCGGGUUCGGGGGCUUACGCGCUUGGAAGUCGCUUUUGGAGGUGAAAAUUGUGAUACAAGAUGUUACAAAAAAAUGGUAGAUAAUAAAAAAAAUAUUCGUGAUAAUUUUGUUACAGAAUGAAUAUUUUGAGACGAGUAUAAAUCUCUAUUUUUCUUGUUUUAUUCUCCAAAGUAAUAAUAUUGGGAACUGCUAAAAAAUAAAAUCGUUGUCUUAUUGAAAUUA